rnacentral:rRNA from 1 species
UACGGAGGGUGCAAACGUUGCUCGGAAUCAUUGGGCGUAAAGCGCACGUAGGCGGUCCAGUAAGCGGGGAGUGAAAGCCCUCGGCUUAACCGAGGAAGUGCUUUCCGAACUGCUGGACUUGAAUACUGAAGAGGAUCGCGGAAUUCCCGGUGUAGAGGUGAAAUUCGUAGAUAUCGGGAGGAACACCAGUGGCGAAGGCGGCGAUCUGGGCAGAUAUUGACGCUGAGGUGCGAAAGCGUGGGGAGCAAACAGG